CAUUACCGAGUUGAUUCGGGCUCCGGCCCGAUCCUCCCACCCUUUGUGUACCUACCUCUGUUGCUUUGGCGGGCCGCGGUCCUCCGCGGCCGGCCCCCCUCCCCGGGGGGUGGCCAGCGCCCGCCAGAGGACCAUCAAACUCCAGUCAGUAAACGAUGCAGUCUGAAAAACAUUUAAUAAACUAAAACUUUCAACAACGGAUCUCUUGGUUCUGGCAUCGAUGAAGAACGCAGCGAAAUGCGAUAAGUAAUGUGAAUUGCAGAAUUCAGUGAAUCAUCGAAUCUUUGAACGCACAUUGCGCCCUUUGGUAUUCCGAAGGGCAUGCCUGUUCGAGCGUCAUUACAACCCUCAAGCUCUGCUUGGUAUUGGGCACCGUCCUUUGCGGGCGCGCCUCAAAGACCUCGGCGGUGGCGUCUUGCCUCAAGCGUAGUAGAACAUACAUCUCGCUUCGGAGCGCAGGGCGUCGCCCGCCGGACGAACCUUCUGAACUUUUCUCAAGGUUGACCUCGGAUCAGGUAGGGAUACCCGCUGAACUUAAGCAUAUC
rnacentral:rRNA from 1 species